rnacentral:tRNA from 1 species
GGCCCUAUAGCUCAGAGUUAUGGUCAGAGUGCCUCGCCGGUCAAUGUUUAUAGCAUUGAUUGGAUAACGAGAUGGUCACUGGUUUGAAUCCAGUUAGGGCCU